UACGUAGGGACCGAGCGUUGUCCGGAAUCAUUGGGCGUAAAGAGCGUGUAGGCGGCCCCUUAAGUCCUGCGUGAAAUCCUGCGGCUCAACCGCAGACGGUCGUGGGAAACUGGAGGGCUAGAGUGCGGGAGAGGAGAGUGGAAUUCCCGGUGUAGCGGUGAAAUGCGCAGAUAUCGGGAGGAACACCAAUGGCGAAGGCAGCUCGCUGGGACGGUACUGACGCUGAGACGCGAAAGCGUGGGGAGCGAACAGG
rnacentral:rRNA from 1 species